GGAGAAAUGUCCGAGAGGUCGAAGGAGCUUGACUCGAAAUCAAGUGCACGUCAUUGAUGUGCCGCGGGUUCGAAUCCCGCUUUCUCCG
rnacentral:tRNA from 1 species